GAUGAACGCUGGCGGCGUGCCUAAUACAUGCAAGUCGAGCGAACAGACGAGGAGCUUGCUCCUCUGACGUUAGCGGCGGACGGGUGAGUAACACGUGGAUAACCUACCUAUAAGACUGGGAUAACUUCGGGAAACCGGAGCUAAUACCGGAUAAUAUAUUGAACCGCAUGGUUCAAUAGUGAAAGACGGUCUUGCUGUCACUUAUAGAUGGAUCCGCGCCGCAUUAGCUAGUUGGUAAGGUAACGGCUUACCAAGGCAACGAUGCGUAGCCGACCUGAGAGGGUGAUCGGCCACACUGGAACUGAGACACGGUCCAGCCUCCUACGGGAGGCAGCAGUAGGGAAUCUUCCGCAAUGGGCGAAAGCCUGACGGAGCAACGCCGCGUGAGUGAUGAAGGUCUUCGGAUCGUAAAACUCUGUUAUUAGGGAAGAACAAAUGUGUAAGUAACUAUGCACAUCUUGACGGUACCUAAUCAGAAAGCCACGGCUAACUACGUG
rnacentral:rRNA from 1 species